GCCGACGUAGCUCAGUGGUAGAGCAGCGCACUCGUAAUGCGCAGGUCAAGGGUUCAAGUCCCUUCGUCGGCU
rnacentral:tRNA from 1 species